rnacentral:rRNA from 1 species
UACGAAGGGGGCUAGCGUUGUUCGGAUUUACUGGGCGUAAAGCGCACGUAGGCGGUUUGUUAAGUGAGGGGUGAAAUCCCAGGGCUCAACCCUGGAACUGCCUUUCAUACUGGCAAUCUUGAGUCCGGAAGAGGUAAGUGGAACUCCUAGUGUAGAGGUGGAAUUCGUAGAUAUUAGGAAGAACACCAGUGGCGAAGGCGGCUCACUGGUCCGGUACUGACGCUGAGGUGCGAAAGCGUGGGGAGCAAACAGG